GAAAUGCGAUAAGUAAUGUGAAUUGCAGAAUUCAGUGAAUCAUCGAAUCUUUGAACGCACAUUGCGCCCGCCAGUAUUCUGGCGGGCAUGCCUGUUCGAGCGUCAUUUCAACCAUCAAGCCCCGGGCUUGUGUUGGGGACCUGCGGCUGCCCGCAGGCCCUGAAAACCAGUGGCGGGCUCGCUGUCACACCGGGCGUAGUAGAUUUUUCGUCUCGCCCAGGGCGUGCUGCGGGUUCCGGCCGUUAAAAAGCCUCUCUUUUAACCCAAGGUUGACCUCGGAUCAGGUAGGAAGACCCGCUGAACUUAAGC
rnacentral:misc_RNA from 1 species